AUUUGUUCUCAGGGUUGUUCAGCGUGGCAGAGUUGGAACAGAAACUUUCUGCAGGUUUAUUAUUGAUCAAACUAAAGUCAUAUUAAGGAGCUACUGGCACGGAGUCAGAGCAGAGCUCAGAAAUCUGAAAUAUAUCAAAGUAUAUUAAAGUUAAAGAGUUUAGAGAACACUGUUUGGUUAGCUGCCUCAAAGGCAGAUGACUCUCAAUAUCACAAGAUCAGGUAAAAUUUCAGAUCAAGGAAAAUCACUGGGAUUAUCUGUGAAGAGGCAGAAAAGCAUAGACGUGGUCUACCUUAUAGCCAUUUUGAAAAGCCUGCAGACACAGAGGACGGUUACGGAGAAGAAGCAGAGGAUUUUCUCAGUUUCUACACAGACCUGGUCCAGACAGCAGAGAGCUGCAGAGUGAAGACGUUCAUGGAAGCUGAGUCAGUGCAACGUCCUCUUUGAAUCCUGGAUCAGGAAGUAAAGCCGGUGAAGGUAGAAAGUGUGUGUGAGCUGAAUUGAGCAGCAUGGAUCAGUGUGAGGACAGAGAGGAG